GAUGAACGCUAGCGGCAGGCUUAAUACAUGCAAGUCGAGGGGCAGCAGCUUUAUAGCAAUAUAGAGGCUGGCGACCGGCAAACGGGUGCGGAACACGUACACAACCUUCCUUUAAGAGGGGGAUAGCCCAUAGAAAUGUGGAUUAAUACCCCGUAACAUAUCGGUGUGGCAUCACACUGUUAUUAUAGUUUCGACGCUUGAAGAUGGGUGUGCGGCUGAUUAGGUAGUUGGCGGGGUAAAGGCCCACCAAGCCUUCGAUCAGUAGCUGAUGUGAGAGCAGGAUCAGCCACACGGGAACUGAGACACGGGCCCGACUCCUACGGGAGGCAGCAGUAAGGAAUAUUGGUCAAUGGACGCAAGUCUGAACCAGCCAUGCCGCGUGAAGGAUGAAGGUCCUCUGGAUUGUAAACUUCUUUUAUAGGGGGCGAAAAAAGGGAAUUCUUUCUCACUUGACAGUACCCUAUGAAUAAGCACCGGCUAACUCCGUGCCAGCCGCCGCUGUAA
rnacentral:rRNA from 1 species